rnacentral:rRNA from 1 species
AACGAACGCUGGCGGCAGGCUUAACACAAGCAAGUCGAGCGCCCCGCAAGGGGAGCGGCAGACGGGUGAGUAACGCGUGGGAAUCUACCGUACCCUACGGAAUAGCUCCGGGAAACUGGAAUUAAUACCGUAUACGCCCUACGGGGGAAAGAUUUAUCGGGGUAUGAUGAGCCCGCGUUGGAUUAGCUAGUUGGUGGGGUAAAGGCCUACCAAGGCGACGAUCCAUAGCUGGUCUGAGAGGAUGAUCAGCCACAUUGGGACUGAGACACGGCCCAAACUCCUACGGGAGGCAGCAGUGGGGAAUAUUGGACAAUGGGCGCAAGCCUGAUCCAGCCAUGCCGCGUGAGUGAAGAAGGUCUUAGGAUUGUAAAGCUCUUUCACCGAUGAAGAUAAUGACGGUAGUCGGAGGAGAAGCCCCGGCUAACUUCGUGCCAGCAGCCGCCGUAA